CUUCAAAUCGCGCAAAAUAACUAUUCUAAAAUUAAAUCUUCGCAGCGAUUAUAUUUCCGUACCGUGUCUUAAUCUAACCAGGGUGGUAUGUUCGCUUCGAGUUGGAUAGUUGAAAACUUCGAGGUUUUAUUUAUUUAUUAUUUAUUUAAUUUUUUUUUAUUUCUACAAUGGCGGCGCACACAGCGGCGCACACAGCUCACGGCUCUCCUUUUCACUGCUCUUUUUUGUUGUUUUUGUAUUAUUUUUUAUUACUUGUUUGUGCAUUAUCGGUUCCACGAACAUUCGCUAUACAAGUCAGAACCUUAUGGAUAUUGGGGACCAACACCGAAUACCUAUUUCGAGAGUCUUUCCUCACACGCACAACAUCCUAGACGACAUAGCGAGAUUGCCGGGCUCUCCGUGGAUUGUUGUCGGGUCCAGAAGGCGGCGCAGACGGAGGAGGGAGAGGAAGCAAAAGCGGGGAUGCAGUACCGCCGGUGUGAUCAGCUAGAACUUGGGGAGGAAUACGACGUGCUCACACUAAGGGAAUGUAGCAGUCUUUUAGGUCUUGGUUGUUACCCCUGAGUGAGGCUUUGCUGAAGAUAUUCGCCUGUAAUUUCACCCGAGGAUGGGCUUUCUUCUUUCCCAUUGGUUUCUUCCAUAACGUUGUGUUCUCACGUGACGGUGUCGCGUUGAGAUGGGUUUCCGGUAGGUUUUAUCCCACAUGUCGGAAUGAUAGGAAAGCAGAAUAAAGAAUGGACUACCUGUCUGGGCAGUACAUUCACCAUGACUGUUUGGGCUUGUUUCUGCUCACCUAUCCAACAGUCUCUCUAUUCCUUAGUCAAAAGGGUAGGAGACUGGACAGGUGUGAUUGAUGGACAUGAUCGUCAUCGAAACUCAUGGUCCACCAACGACUAAGGCUACUUUGACUCAGAUAGCGUGCAUGGUCCGAAGGCUCUGGCUGGGUUAGGUUUUGGUAAGAAUACAAUGAUCCCCCCAUCACAAUAAUCCAUUGCGUGGUUAAAUAGAGGACCAAGGAUGGUGCACGGGCCGGCGCUUGUUAAGCAUAGCUAUGCUUGGCGUCUGCUGAUUUAACAAAUCCAAUGGAGACUAACUCGAUUAGGUUUUAUAGUUGGUGGGUCAUUAGCCAGUUCUCAAUGGGCUGUUGAGAUGGUAUUCAGUUGGAGGUGGUGAUUAGUUGUCUGGUGCUAAGACGUUCGUCAUGAUUGAGGCUUCGCUGAUGACAUUUGGCUGUAACUCCCUCCACCUGAAGUUUGGUUUUCUUCUUUUAUUCACAGUUGGGUGUAGAAGUCAUUUAGGUCUAAGUCAUUCCUCCUGAGUGAGGCUUUUCCUGAUGAUAUUUGGUUGUAGUUCUACCCGAACUUGGGCUGUCUUCUUUAACCGUAGUUGAGUGUAGAAGUGGUUGGGGCCCAAGCUGUUACCUUUGAUCCAGGCUUUGAUGAUGGUGUUGGCUUUGAUUUUAUUAUUUAUUUAUUUUAUGCGGGUUGGGACAGGUUAUGAUUAGGGCUAGAGGUCACGGUUGGACCUAGGGAUCAACGGUUAUGGUUAGGGAUUAGGUUAGGGGUAGGUUUUAUUUA